rnacentral:rRNA from 1 species
UGGUAGCCGCCGCGGUAAUACGGCGGGUUCCCUCGUGGUUCGGAAUUAUUGGGCGUAAAGCGCGUGUAGGCGGUCUGUUAAGUCUGAUGUGAAAGCCCGGGGCUCAACCCCGGAAGUGCAUUGGAUACUGGCAGACUUGAGUACGGGAGAGGGAAGUGGAAUUCCGAGUGUAGGAGUGAAAUCCGUAGAUAUUCGGAGGAACACCGGUGGCGAAGGCGGCUUCCUGGACCGAUACGGACGCGGAGACGAGAACGCGUGGGGAGCACACAGGAUUAGAUA